GACGAACGCUGGCGGCGCGCUUAACACAUGCAAGUCGAGCGAAGCGGCGGACGGGUGAGUAACACGUGAGUAACAUGCCUUUGACAUUGGGAUAGCCUCGGGAAACUGGGAUUAAUACCAAAUGGUCAAAGAUGGACUCGCGGCUGAUUAGCAAGGUGGUGAGGUAACGGCCCAACAAGGCGACGAUCAGUAGCCGGCCUGAGAGGGUGACCGGCCACAUUGGGACUGAGCUCCGGCCCAGACUCCUACGGGAGGCAGCAGUGGGGGAGAUUGCACAAUGGGCGAAAGCCUGAUGCAGCGACGCCGCGUGGGGGAUGAAGGCUUUCGGGUUGUAAACCUCUUUCCUAUCGAACAGGGGAGGUGGAGAAGAAGCGCCGACUAACUACGUGCCAGCAGCCGCGGUAAUAC
rnacentral:rRNA from 1 species